AAAGAGUACAAUUGUGUGACCUCAGCUCAUCGAUAUAUUAUGGCGAUCAAGACAUCUAUUCUUAACCUCAGACUACCCAACGUUCUGGGUACUCAACGUUUGAAGCAAUGUUGUAAGAGUAGCAAGCUUAGAUGGUUGAAUUAUUUUAGACCAGCCAUCAAAAGAGGAUUAGUUGCGCUAGCUAUUGUCGCAAGUUUAGGUGCCUUAGCACAUACAUUGGGCAUCCUCGUCCCUAUGAUAGGAGCAAGUGGAUUUGCUACCGCUGCAAUUGCUAUAGGAACUGUUGCCGGUAGUUUUAGAUAAUCUCUUAAUAGUUUUGGAUAUGUUUAUAUGCAUAGUUUUGGAUGGUUUAAACUUUUUGGACAGUUUAGAACUUAAUGAUAUAGUUUGUGAAUGUUUGAAAUGUAUAGACAGUUGUUGAA